GGUUGCGCUUUUCGGAGUCUUGUUGCCCACCGUUUUGUUAGGCGUCGUUUCCUCCUCGGGCAUUUCUACUGCAUCCGCUUUUCUCCAGUCUUUUCGUGGAGAUUUAGGCUUCAGCUCGUGGAAAAUAAUCACAGAACUGGAUUUCAGGGCCCCCGGGCACCUCGCACUGAGCUCUCCAGGAAUGAAAAAUUCCUCAGGCAGUCAGUUCGUCUAUUAGGGGCAAUCAGUGUUGCUGACUCCUUGGAUAUUCUUCUAAAGCAAAACGGGCAGAUCAGCUGAUGCACUCUUUCCUGUACUCGCCUGAUCGUGAGAACCACCUGGGGCGACAGUGAAAUGUAGAUUCUUCCCCAGCUCCAGCGGAUCAGCCUGUCCAAGGAGGGGGCUCUGAACGUCUGUGUUUAACUUAGGAGAGCCUCAUCAUCAGCAAAAUACCAUUGGUGGAAGUACAUCCCAAGGACCACUAAGUUCUUCAGAGAAGAAGCUGCCAAUCUCUUCCCUGAGGAAGAAGCAAAAGUCAAUGAAUCAGAGACAACUGGAGGUGCUUUCUAAGGAUGGAGUCCAAAGGGAAGUUGGAGUUUGUAGGAAAUAGAAUUUAAUUCUUUCCUUUGUCCCUGGUGUCACCUGCUUAAGCUCUUGGUGGCAGCCAGUAUUCUUAGUUAUCUGAAGGAGAAGAAAACCUGAAGAUGACUAGAAGAAUCCAAGUCACGUGAUCUAAAACAGAGUUGUGAUGAUAAAUACAAACACAGUCAAGAACUCCCCCAAGCCCUGGCGUUUCUAAAAACGGGUACAUCCAAGUGUCAGGUCUGACACUGGGUCUGUGGGUGACAGCCCUGACUGACCACCGUUAGGGUCAGCUCUGUCAGGCUACAUGGACACAGGUCUUGUUUCAGGGACGAGAUCUCCUUUGGGGACUCUGGGUGAACCGUUGGAGCUGUCUAACUGGCUGACCUGGGAAAUCCACACCAAGUGGCCAAGGCACCACAGGGAUUGUGUUUGGACUUUAAACCACCUGCAUGCAGUCUCUGCCUUGUUCUGGGAUGCAGGUAAAGAGCUCAUCUCCUUUGCAAAGCUGAGAAAAGAGUUUCCAGGGAAACACAAAAGCCAAGGUUUUCCUUCAGGAGAGAUUGAGCUGGUAGGCUAGGAUAGCACCUGGUCGUGGUGUUUACAUAAGGAGAAAGAUGACUAAGACUCAGAUGCCUUGACUCAAAGCUUCCUUGGGAUCUGAUGUGAUGAGAGUUUCCAAGAAGAUUUUGUAUAUUUCCUAUCCCAGACCUGGAAUUAGCUGGUUCUCCAAGGAGCUCUGACUAUUUUCAGAAGGAAACUGGAUUUCAACAGCAAAUUCUGUGUGCUGGAGGGCUGGGAGAAAUGACCACUGACUGAAUCCAUGGACUCAAUGGACAUUCUGUGAGCUGGACCUGGAAAAAUGAGGAAAUCAAGACACCAUGGAGCCCUUUGUGGGCGGAGCCAAUGAUGCCCAUGGGCCAUCCCUUGCCCUCCAGGUGAGAGCCCACUGCAGGUGACUGUAUUGUCCACUGAUAUUUCUGGAAGACAAACAAAUUGAUGAAGAUGGCAGGCAAGUAGGAUGGUUAAGGAGGAAUGCUAGGUAGAGAGAAGAGCAUCACUUCCAAAAGGUAUCGAGGGUCAAUUUGCAGUUGGACUACAAACUUUAAGUGGGCCGCAUUGUCUUUAUUAUGAAGCUUUCCAGGAGCACACAACUGAAUGGAGCUGAGACUUAGAAUGGUAGGGCGGGCAGGGAUAAGGGUCUGUAAUAGGAAACUCCCAGGAGGGAACGUGCCGUCACUUGUUUCAUUCUUCCCAUUUUCUUACCCAGUAUGGCCUUUCCGGAGACAUCAAAAUUCUGUUAUGAAAAGAAAUGACAACUUACUCUACAGACAACCCGAAGUAGGUUAGAACCCAGAAUAACUCUUUAGGAAGAAAAGUUAACCGUUAACUAUUAAUGGUAAUGGUAUUAAUAAUAAGAAAAGUUAUCCAGUCAGUGGUCUUAGCUAUUUAAGACUGUAGGUCACUCAUCAGGGUCCUAUGUUUCCUUGAGAUAAACAUUAAAUGAUAAGUCUAUCUAAUUUGGUUGGGGGCCAAGGACCCUAUAAUGCUGCCAUUUAUUGCUAAAUUGCCUUAAUUACUUUUUAAAAUCUGCCUUUUACCCCUUAGUGGAUAUAUUAACCAAUUAUGGACGCUGACACAAAGGUCAGGAGAGAGUCUGUGGAACACAGCAAAUUUUGAAAAUAUGAUGUUAACGUGAUGUUAUUCAAAAUCCUUCAAAUGCAUUAGGAAAAAACUUGCGUAAGAUCCUCUGGAGUCUUGGGUGCAAUGUGAUAUUUUGGAACAUAUUAAUGUGAUUUUCUUUUUUUCCUUUGCUGCUCCUUGUUCAUGAAUUUUUCCCAAUCCAUCCAUUACCUGGGAGAAUGUUAGGGUAUUUGCGAUGGAACAUUCAUGGAAAACAGUGUUCAGCAUUCAUUCUAAAACAGGCUCCGAAAGCUGCCUGAACGAGCAUAAUGUUUAAUCAUAAGCGUUUGGUGGAAUGCCUUAACUGGGAGAUAGAGAAGGAUGGAGGCAGGUAGGAUGGAGGCCUGUGAGAGACCUUCAAGACUUGGAGGAGAGGAGCAGAAUCAGUAUCCACCGUGUGCUCAGCCUCUGCUUUGUCAGCACCAUGCAGCACCGUGGAGCCCUUUGUGAGCAAAGCCGCCAAUGAUGCCCAUGGGCCAUCCCUUGCCCUCCAGGUGAGUGCCCACUGCAGGUGACUGUAUUGCCCACUGACUGUCCAACAGGAGAGUGCCCUGCUAUGUCCUAAGACUGUCAGCUUGUCUAAGUUACCCUGUGUCAGCAACUGACUCAUAGGCCAAGGGUACUCCUAAGUCUCUCAGACUAGAGGAUGCAGCCCAGGACACCCAAGAAGCAGUGGUGAUAUGGAAAAGUUUGGAUGGUAUCGUUCAGAUCCAUCGUAAGAACUGUACUUCCCCUCCACCUGCCCCAUUGCGCAUUCCCCGAAAGAGGCGGUGGUGAAGCCUUUGGCCGUGACAAAGGAAUCGUAAUACUGGCACUAAAGAGCAGACUCUUUUCUCUCUCUGAUAUCUGUUUUCCUACCACUCUACUGUGAAUUAACUCUCAAAAAAAUAGCUAGUGGAACUGAAGUAGAAAAGAGUGGCAGAAUCUCUCAUACCAGAGAGGAAAUAUAACUUGGUAGAAGCGGCAUUAUUUAAUAUUUAAGAGCACAGAUCUUGAAGCCAGAAUCAGCGACUUCCUACUCUUCUGACUGUGAGCAAACUACUCAUUUGAGCCUGUUUUCUCAUUUGUGAAAUGAAGAUAAUACCUUUCUCGUUUAGUAUGACACCUAAAUGGGAUAGUACAUACUCGCACCCACACACAUAGCCACGCAAUAAACCUGGUUACAUCAUUCUCAUCUCUUGGCACUACUUUCAUCCGAAUUUAUUGAACACGCAUUACCUUUGGCUGCUGUAAGUUGACUCCAGUGCAGACAAAGUUCUACAAGACCAGCAAGCAGGGUGAUGCCUUCGUGUUCCCGGAUCCCUAGCAUCCACAUACCCAACAGCAGCUUUCCCUCACAAGAGGAGUGCAGCAAGGGGACUGUGAUAAUCACCUACUGGUCUCAGAUCCAAGAGAUGUCUCUAUCAAAAUUACGUGCAAGGGGUCCUCAGGCCCAGAAUAUCUGUGUCACCUUGGUCUCAAGUUUCAGCUGGAAGAACUCCCUGUAUCAUUUCUUGUAAGGCCAGUCUGGUGGUGAUAAACUCCUUUAACUUUUGCUUGUUUGGAAAAUUCCUUAUCUCUCCUUCAGUUUUGAAGGACAACCUUGCCAGGUAGCAUAUUCUUGGUUGGUAUUUUUUUUCUUUCUUUCAACACUUUGAGUAUGUUAUGCCUCUCCCUUCUGGCCUGCAAAGUUUCUGCUGAAAAAUCUGCUGAUAGUCUUCUGGAGGUUCCCUUGUACAUAACAAGUGGUUUUCUCUUGCUGUUUUUAAGAUUCUUUCCUUGUCUUUAACUUUUGACAGUUUGGUUGUACUAUGUCUUGGUGUAGAUCUCUUUGGAUUCUUCUUAUUUGAAACCUCUGGGCUUUCUGGAUAUGGAUGUUUGUUUCUUUCUCCAGGUUUUAGGGAAAUUUUCUGCCAUUAUUUUUUUGAAUAAACUUUCUACCCCUUUCUCUCUGUUUUCUCCUUCUGAGACCCCUAUGAUGCAUAUAUUGGGCCACAGUUGUUGCUAUUCCAUAAGUCCGUUAAGCUAUCUUCACUCUUUUUCAUUCUUUCUUGCUUUUUGCUCCUCCGAUUGGAUGAAUUCCACUGCCCUGUCUUUGAAUUCACUGAUCUUUUCUUUUACUUGAUCUAGUCUGCUGUUGAAUCCCUCUAUUGAAUUUUUCAGUUCAGUCAUUAUCGUCUGCAGCUUUGAGAUUCUUGUUUGGUACUUUAUUAUGUUUUCUAUAUCUUUGUUGAAACUCUCACUUUGUUCCCUCAUUGUUCUCUUGACAUCAGUGAGCAUCUUUAUGACAAUUAUUUUGAACACUUUAUCAGGUAAGUCACUUAUCCCCCAUUUCAUUAAGAUCUGUUUCUGAAGUUUUAUCUUGUUCUUUUGUUUGGAAAUAUUCCCUUUUUUCUUCAUUUUCCUUGACUUUCUGUUUCCAUCUUGCUCAUUUCCCAGACAUGAGGAAUGUUUUCACCAAAUUCAAGCCUGAUGGAAUAAGAUUGUAUGGAAGAAGAAGAUGACAUAGGAACGAAAAAGCAGACUAUGAAGAAGAAAGCAUUGACAUCUCACUACAGUGGUACCAAGGAAAGGCGUUCCUUUCAGUAAAUAACAGACAAGAUUCCUCUUCCAAGACGCUGAUUUGGGAGACCACAGAGAGAAAACCUGGCAGAAGUGCCUUUUGUUGCUGUCUCCUACAAAGCAACAAGUUUGAGAAGUCUAACCCUGUGUUUCUACUUGGGAGCUCAGCACUUACUCUCACAGGCCUGGAGGUAUUUGGAGAGCAAGUCUUGUAGAGAAGACCAAGAAAACAAAAGGGACAGCUCUUCAGAUCCACCUUACUGGGAAUAUCACUCAGACACAACAUCCAGAAAGUCCAGGUUUAACAAAGGUCCAGAGUCUUCUAACUCACUUCUUAUAGAAGCUAUGAACUACACAGCAGCAGCAAUGACAACAAGCACAACAAAGCAGCCUCAGUUCUCUAGUUCUGCAGCAGGAUUCAGGGACCCCCAGGGGCUUAGUAGAGAUGCAAUCUCAGAAUGUAAGUACAGGUGCUUAGGCCAACCAGGAAGAUAGUUAUAAUUAGGUUAUUCUGAGGUUGGGGUGAAAACUACAUCUAAGGUUCUGUGAGGCCCAUGAGUGGUUAAAUGAUGAAUAAGGCAGUACUCAUCCUAGAGGAAAAUCUGGACCAGUGAAUGUAAGCUUGACUGGAAAUGCUAAAGAUAAAAACAGAAACCAGAAAAUUUUCCUGGUAAUAAUCAGGCUUCCUUGCCUUGCACAGUUCCAAUAAUACACAAAUUUCAGUGUAUUAUUCAGUGUACCCACAGUUUAAGUGAUACCAGUCCCCCAACAACACAGUUCAAAUUUUCAGUUACCUCAAUAAAUUGACUGUGAGUAAUUGCAUAAAGUAGGAACUUCACUGUUAGAUUUUCAAACCACAAAUCACUAUGUAAGUAACAGAUGCACAUGACAUUCAAUGACCAAUCGCAUCACUUCUUUCAAAGUCUAUUGGUGAUUGGCCACCACACAUCUAUUAUUCAGUUCACACACAGACAGCAAAGCAUGUAGUUGUGUUACCUCCUUGUCUUCCAGGGAUAAACUUACGUAAACAUUUGAAAAAAUGGACAACCUAAAAGGAAAUUGGCUAAGAGAUGAAGUGCAACAAGGAAACCAAAAUUGAUAAAGCUGCAAGUGAAGUUCUAAUUGAGCAUAAAUGGAGUCAGGGAAGAAAUGGCCAUCUGUGGGAAUGUUGACACCAUCACUGUUUUCCAGAGACGAUAGACAUGCAUCCAGAGGAACUCAGUGAAGCCAAACUUAGCGACACAAAUGAGGAAUAUGGCGGUGAUGAAAAGAAUGAAGAUAUCCCAGAAGAAGGCACACUGGCAAAAAACCCUCACAUUAAAGAAACUCUGGGAGGAAUUGUGCUGUAUUGAAGGCACAAUGAAUAAAUAGCUGAAAACUAAUUCAGAUUUAGAAAGGAGUACAACAAUUCAUGGAGGAAUAACAAAGAGGCUCACUCCAUACCGUAUGUCAUACAGGGAGAGGAAAAGGGCAGGCACUGCUCAAACUGAGCUCGGGGGAUCCCUACAAAGAAAAAGACAUUUUACUGUUCAGCGUUUCUACUGUUUUAAACUUCAAUGUACUAAAUAAAUAUUAGUUUUACCAUUUUUAAAUUCCCCCAUAUUUUUAUAACCUACUGUAAAAGAGUCUUUAAUGUGUUGACAAAAAACUUUUAAAGGUCCCAGAACCAUUGUAAUUUUCCCUUCUUUGAUUAAUAACAUUACCUUGCAUGGUUUUUAUCUGCAGAGUCAUCUUUCCACUCUCUCAUUACCAUGCAAAUCAAGGACUGCCUGUAAAGCUGAGCUAGGAUCAUAGCAGUGGGAAGGGAAAUGAAAUGGUAAAUAAGAAACAAAGCAAAACUCCAAGGACUGUGAUUGAGUGGUUGUGAAGAACACAGUUGGAGAAGAUGGUGGGUGUGGUCAGCAGGGAGCAGAAAUAAACAGAAAAUGAUUAGAAGAAGAAAGCUGAAAAGAUAACUUUUGUGUGGAGACAGACUCCAGGAGAGGUUUAGUUUAGAAAAAGAGGGUUAUGAGCUUUAGAAACAUUAUGAUUAUUUAAGAAAGACUCAGAUAUGUGAAAUAUUGGAUGCGACAGUGCACCAAAAUUUGGCACUUUGUGACACAGUUGGGAGAACAGGCACAUAAACUGUUGGUGGUACGAGUAAAAGGAGUACUUCUCAUUCUCAUGCCAUUUCAUAUACCACUUGCCAUUUAUUUAGUAGGACAAAUUUACUUUUUAAAGUCUACCUUUAAAAAGGGGAGAAUAUCUCCUGCGUUUUCUAAAUCUGGCUGGUUUUUUUUUUAAUUAGACAUGAUUUAUUUUUUUUAAGACAUCUUGUUCUCAUUGAGGGUUUGCCUCUUUGAUGAGAAAUGUCACUUUUCUGCAUCAAAAAGAGAAGUUAUUUCAGAAUUAAGGCCGACAAAGGUGGUUAGAAGAAGAAUGCAUGUAAGUGUCCUAGGGGUCAGAAAAAAAGAAGACCUUGUUCUAGAAAAGGAGUUCUGAGCAAGAGGAUCCAGCCAGCUGAGAUAGAAGCCUGUGCCCAGCAAGAGGGAACUGGAACUGACGAUUCCUUUCCUUCCCCAGAGCUUCAGCUAGGAAGACGAUUGUUCUGUAGUAUGAAGAACAGUCAUCAUUCACCACAGUUGGUUGACAUGAUUUAUUAAGUUGAAUCAAGCACAGAAAAGAAAAGUUCUUUGUGAUAGGCCAGAUUCCAUGAGUGGGAAUUCCUUGGAGUCACAUAGGGAGAGAAUACGCCCCAGUGUUGAAGGCUUUCCAGAGACUGCUUCUGUUCCACUUUCCACCCCUCCCUAAAUCACUUCCCAAAGAAAUAUUUUGCUGGACACUGAAGUGGCCACAGCUGUGGUCAUAAGAAAACAUCAGGAUGUGAAAUGAAUCAUCCUCUCUUUUAGUUAAUGUUUUUUUGAGUAUGCAGGCGGGGUAAAGGACAGGUGCUAUUAAGAUAAUAAACAUCAUUAAAGUGAUUGGAAGUGCUGCCAGUUUCCAUGAACAAAAGCUUUCCAAGGAGCUGUAAUUAUUUGUAAGGUCAGUGAACUAAAAUUUUCCCCGUAUCAGUAUUAAGCAAAAAGGUCAUUAAUGUUUUAGGGGACUGUAAUGAGUCUGAAAGAGGUUGACUUGAUCCUCCCCUUUUGUAGUUCUCUAUCAGAUCACCCUAUGAUCCUCCUCAACUUCCAGACUCCUGGACGGCUGAAGUAGAACCAGCGACUGACUCUCUGACCAGCUGUUCAGGGCCUGAAGUUACCCUCCACCCAACUGGCAAGGUUUUCUACAACAUAUAUAGACUUAUCCUCAGAUGAGGAUUACCCACCACACCCCACGCCCCCCAAAAAGCCUGAGAUCAUUCCUCUAUGCUAGCUGUGAAAAAAGAGAGGUAACUAUAGUCUUUUAACCUAUCAGUGUUGGAAAAAAUCUAUGGGUGUCCCAAAGCAUCUAGGAUUGAGGGUAUGGAGAGAAGGUUCUUCAAUCACAAGAGAACCCCAGUUUCGCCCAUGAAGAAAAGAGAGAGGACAGGUCCAUAAGGUGUUACAGGUCUUUGGACCUUCGUGUUGUCUCCAAAGUUGGGGUUUUCUUCUAAUUCUGAAGGGCCAGCUUUGGGGACCCUUUGCCAUAGUUGUCAUCUCUCAGGAACCUGAUAAUAAACUACAAUGUUUUAAACUUGGACUAUAU